GGCUGCCGUUCCAUGUGGCAGCCAUCUUAAGGUGCAGAGCAAUAGGGGAAGGAGGAGGCUGCUAUUUGAUGUAGCAGUCAUUUUAAGGCUCGAGAGACUGGCUCUCUGAAGACAGCAUUAAUACAGAAACAUAUAUGGAUACUCUGAACAGUCUCAACUGACCCCAGUCUUCUGAUCAUUUCCAGGCACCAAAUAUUACUAAAUCCAUCUUCAGCCCUACAGAUCUGUCUGCCAGCAUCACUGUAACCAGUUUCAGCCAAAAUUCAUGGAACAAUGAGGACGAA